rnacentral:rRNA from 1 species
CCUACGGGAGGCAGCAGUGGGGAAUUUUCCGCAAUGGGCGAAAGCCUGACGGAGCAACGCCGCGUGAGGGAUGAAGGCCUCUGGGCUGUAAACUGCUUUUAUACAGGAAGAAAAACUCCGACGUGUCGGAACUUGACGGUACUGUAAGAAUAAGGAUCGGCUAACUCCGUGCCAGCAGCCGCGGUAAUACGGAGGAUCCAAGCGUUAUCCGGAAUCAUUGGGUUUAAAGGGUCCGUAGGCGGUUUUUUAAGUCAGAGGUGAAAUCCUGCAGCUCAACUGUAGAAUUGCCUUUGAUACUGAAAGACUUGAGUUAUUGUGAAGUGGUUAGAAUGUGUGGUGUAGCGGUGAAAUGCAUAGAUAUCACACAGAAUACCAAUUGCGAAGGCAGAUCACUAACAAUAUACUGACGCUCAGGGACGAAAGCGUGGGUAGCGAACAGGAUUAGAUACCCUGGUAGUCCACGCCGUAAACGAUGGAUACUAGCUGUAUGUCU